GACGAACGCUGGCGGCGUGCCUAAUACAUGCAAGUCGAACGCAGUGGGGACGGGUGAUUAACACCUGGGUAACCUCCCAUCAGAGGGGAUAACACUUGGCAACAGGUGCUAAACCGCUACUGAUUGAUGGACUCGCUGUGCAUUAGCUAGUUGGUGGGGUAACGGCUAACCAAGGCUACGAUGCAUAGCCGACCUGAGAGGAUGAUCGGCCACACUGGAACUGAGACACGGCCCAGACUCCUACGGGAGGCAGCAGUGGGGAAUCUUGGGCAAUGGACGAAAGUCUGACGGAGCAACGCCGCGUGAGUGAAGAAGGUUUUCGGAUCGUAAAGCUCUGUUGUUAGAGAAGCGGUAUCUAACCAGAAAGCAACGGCUAACUACGUGCCAGCAGCCGCGGUAAUAC
rnacentral:rRNA from 1 species